rnacentral:rRNA from 1 species
GCCAGAGCGGGUAACAGCCCCGUAGACGAAAAGGGUCUUAGGCUCCUGGUUCUUAUUCGUGAGUACUGCGAGGAAAGAACGCCUCGUAGGAAUCCGGGGUUACUACACCCCAAGGCUAAAUACGCAUCAUGAUCGAUAGUGAACCAGUACCGUGAGGGAACGGUGAAAAGCAGCCCGGGAGGGCGGUGAAAUAGAACCUGAAACCAUAUACCUACAAGGACUGGGAGCUUGUGCCUCACUAGCGUUCAGCACAAGCUCAAAUGCAAAAUGCAAAAAUCAAAAGUCAAAAUGAUGGAGUCGCUUCGCGAUGAUUUGAUUGAGAGAAAAAUCAUGUCGUCCGCAGACGGCAUACCGCCAUUUUGCACUUUGCAUUUUUACUUUUGCAUUUGAGCGAGUGCCGAGCGGCAGCGAGGCACGAGUGACCGGGUGCCUAUUGAAGAAUGAGCCAACGAGUUUACGUUUGUUGCUCUCUAAGUUGCCUUGGCAACGAAGGGGAAGGGAAACCGAGUCUGAAUAGGGCGCAUUACCAUUGCUGUCGCAAUGGAAUUUCCAAUUUCCAGAAAAUUCAAUUUCCAAAGAGUUUGGAAAUUACAGCAAAAUUCUGGAACAAUUUCGCUGGGCGAAUCUGCAGGUUGCCAUUGGCAACCGAAGGGUGAGCGAUGCUUGGAAAUUGGUGUUUCCACUGCGAUAGCAGUGGUAAAAGCAGCAAGCGUAAGACCCGAAGCCAGAUGAGCUACUUAUGGCCAGGAUGAAGCGUCGCUGAAAGGCGCGUGGAGGUCCGAACCCACGGGUCGUGCAAUGCCCGGGGAUGAGCUGUGAGUCGGAGUGAAAAGCUUAUCGAAUCUGGUAAUAGCUGGUUCUCCUCGAAAUAGCUUUCGGGCUAGCGUUCUGCAAGACCAUUCCGGGGGUAGAGCACUGGAUCGAUAUGGACGGUGGCAACACUGCCACAUCGAACCAAACUCCGAAUACCGGAUUGGACGCAGGGCAGUUAGACGGUGGGGGCGAAGCUCCAUCGUCAAGAGGGAAAGAGCCCAGACCGUCGUCUAAGGUCCCUCAGUGCGCGUUAAGUGUAAAGCGAGAAGGUGGAAAUUCUUAAACAGCGAGGAGGUUGGCUUAGAAGCAGCCAUCCUUUAAAGAGUGCGUAACAGCUCACUCGUCCAGAGUUUCUGCGUCGCAGAUUGCCGGGACUCAAACGCGCCACCGAAGACACGG